GGCGGCAUGCUUUACACAUGCAAGUCGGACGGCAGCACAGAGAAGCUUGCUUCUUGGGUGGCGAGUGGCGAACGGGUGAGUAACAUAUCGGAACGUACCGAGCAGUGGGGGAUAACUAAUCGAAAGAUUAGCUAAUACCGCAUAUAUUCUGAGGAAGAAAGCAGGGGACCAUUUGGCCUUGCGCUGUUUGAGCGGCCGAUAUCUGAUUAGCUGGUUGGUGGGGUAAAGGCCUACCAAGGCGACGAUCAGUAGCGGGUCUGAGAGGAUGAUCCGCCACACUGGGACUGAGACACGGCCCAGACUCCUACGGGAGGCAGCAGUGGGGAAUUUUGGACAAUGGGCGCAAGCCUGAUCCAGCCAUGCCGCGUGUCUGAAGAAGGCCUUCGGGUUGUAAAGGACUUUUGUCCAGGGAAGAAAAGGGCGGGGCUAAUACCCCUGUCUGAUGACGGUACCUGAAGAAUAAGCAC
rnacentral:rRNA from 1 species